rnacentral:rRNA from 1 species
UACAGAGGGUGCGAGCGUUGUCCGGAAUCACUGGGCGUAAAGGGCGCGUAGGCGGCCUGGUAAGUAGGGGGUGAAAUCUCAUGGCUCAACUGUGAGGCUGCCUUCUAGACUGCCGGGCUUGAGCAUGGUAGAGGCUGGUGGAAUUCCCGGUGUAGCGGUGGAAUGCGUAGAGAUCGGGAAGAACAUCUGUGGCGAAGGCGGCCAGCUGGGCCAUCUGCUGACGCUGAGGCGCGAAAGCGUGGGGAGCAAACAGG